GGCUGCCAGCCGAGAGCGCUGAUUGGCUGCCAGCCGAGAGCGCUGAUUGGCUGCCAGCAGACAUUGGUACGUCAAUCACAUUGGUGGAGACAAUGUAAACAAACAUGGCUGCUGUGGAGCUGGUGCUGCUACUGUACAUCAGCCUGUGGCUUCAAAAUGUUCAUCAUCAUCAGGCAAGGGUAUUCUAUAUAAAGAUGCGAGUGGAUGGAUGAAAGAAAGGAACACAAUGGUAGCAUGAGGAGACCAUCCCACAAACAUCUCCCACCACAACCUACAAAACAGGAGGUAGAACUAGUCAAGAACAAUUCCUCAGAACUGUACAGUAAGUCAGUAAGAUAAUUAGUGAACAUCUUCAGGAAAACAUUGUAAGAAUCAUUAAGGUAAACUGUCAACUAUCCAAGUCUUAAGAUACAAAUAUGGAAGUCAAGUUGGUGCUUUAGGAAACAGUGAGAAUGAAAAGGUUUAUACAAGUGAAUAUUUCUCCUGAAAAUACCAGUGAAGUGCUGCACUGUGUUAAAUACUGUAUAGGUAUUGUCUAAAUACAGUAUGAUGAGAGUUACAAUGUUUCUACUAACUUGUGACUUGUGAUUGUGUUCACUUGGAAUGAAAGUCCCAAUAUAUAAAUGUGACAAGUGUUUGUCUGCUGUGCUUAUAUACUGUUGAGACAAAGUUCACAUGUAAAUAUAUUUCAUACAAGAGUAACUCAAGAAGCACAUACAUGCACAGAACUAUGAAGGGGAAUUAUUUAUUUGUAAAGAGUAGAGAUUUUUUGUUACACAGAAUGAUCAAUUCAAAUGUCUGUCCACUGAUGGACAAAAUUUCCUUGUACAAAGUGUUGUGAAGUGAGCAUAAAAAUGAC